AUUCCCUCAUGAGAUAUUUAAUCAAUCCAAUUUAAACGAAACACUCUGUACAUGUCGUCGUGUGCGAAAAGAAAUGGUCGGUUUAAGUUCGUGGCGCCAUUGUGGCCCGCGCGAUUCCGUAGUGGAAGGGGAAGGUGACGCGUUGCACACAGGUAAUACAGAUCGGGAUUUCCGGCAUUUAAAAACCGACCGCCGAGGAGAAGAGCCGGUACCACAGACAUAAGAUGCACAUAUAUUCCCGCGCGAUAGCAGUCUAAACAGAGCUGAUGUCAGCAGUGUAUCUGCGACCGAGGGAGCGGUGGGAUAUGCAACCACUACCAGUCGGUGAACUGUUUUGUUAGUUUAUAAUAUAGCACGGUAAUAACCAUAGAAACCGUUCCACCUUCCAAGAAUGCAAUUUACCAAAAAUUAUGUGGAAUGCGUUACAAAUGUGACAGCUACAGCAAAUAGUUUCGUUAUAAUAAAUUAUGUUUUCUUUAAGGGGGCACGACACAAAAAUUGUUACACAAAUCGAUAUUUUUUUGUUCCAUUUCACGAAAGGGUCGUUACAGUGUUAUGCUGCCUUAACACGUUGAUCGCCACGUCACCCGUAUGUGGGUGACAGUGCUUUUCACUAAAGAACUAAAAACAUUAAUUCUGAAAGUUAAGCUUCACAGGAAAUGAAUUUAAAUGAAAUUCGUGUAUCUUGAUGAAGUUACAAAAAUG